rnacentral:lncRNA from 1 species
GUAGAAAAGUCAAGCUCCCUUACCAUAUCUCUGCUGCCCUAGCCCAGACAGAUUUGUUCCCUCAGGAAUCACAACCUCCUGUGGAGAUGCCCUGGGUACCUGGACUGUGGGUGGGUGAGACAUUUGUCUAUGCUAAGUUGCCCAGACAGCUCUGCACAGAGAGCUGCUGCCAUGCCCACUCAGAUGUUUUGGAGCACCUCUGCUUGUUCCAGCCCUCUACAAGGGGUACAGUUGGGGGAGAAUGUGAGCUAUGACCACUCUAGGUGGAGGGCAACAGAGACUGCUGUGUGGGGAGCUGGGGGAAGAGGAGGUUGGCAAGGCAUCCAGGGAACAGAGGAGCUGGCAGUCAGAUCCCAUCACAGGGAGGCAGGGAGGCAAGGCCACUGGGAUCUGGAGCUCCUUUUGACUGUUCCACUGUGCUGUCAACUUCACAUAGAAAUUACGUGUUCAGAUAGGGUUAUGAAGAACUUCCAGAAGGGGUUCAGGGAACUGGACCCAAACAUAGUCCAUCAGGACAUGGGCUCUUAUGUGACACACUGCUGACCUGGUUACCUGCUAUCUCAGGCUUUUUCAGCUCUGACUACACAUGAAUCACUUUAAGGGCAUUAAAAUACUGAGUCCUGGGCCUUGCCCCAGACUGAUAGAACCAUCUCAGGUGUGGUCCCUGAAUCAGCACAUUAAAGCACCCCUCAGGUAUUCAGGGAUGCAGCAGGGGUGGGGUGGGAGCCAGGGUGUCUCAGAGGGCCCAUGUGACCAGCACUGCUCUGGGCUGAGUGAGAAACUUCCUCCCGUACCAUCCUCAGACCCGAGCUUCCUCCUGGAGAGUGGCAGAGAGUGCAGGUCCACAUUCAGGCUCUGUCUCUCACUAACACUGCACCCCGAGGCCAGGCCCAGGUGUGAGUAGGAUCAUUAAACACACUCCUCUCUUAGGCUCGUUUGACAAUUAGAUGACACACUACGUGCAAAGCACUUGGCACAGUAACUAGCACAUGUUCCAGGCUCAAUGUCUCAGUUAUUGUGGCCACUGGUGCUACUAUCGUUUUUUUCAGAUUUAAAAGGGGAAAUCCUACUUGGCUCUCAGAGACAUCUGUGUGGUCCUGCUGAGUGGGCAGUGUCUGCAGGUGAAGUGCGACAUCGAGUCCACAGCAGGAGCUGUCUUUGAUGCCUUCAUGCCCUUUGCCAACCUUGGAGAUAUCACCUACUUCGGCUCGGCUUAUAUGAAAGGUGGGUGUCUCCGGGAAGCUCACGGCUGGCCUGGUGGCUCCAGCACCCCUGGUAUCCAGUACCUGAGCUCUGUUCGCUCUUGGAAAGCCACUUGAGCCCAGAAUGCCUCACUUUGCACACCUAGAUGUCAGAUGGCAUGGCAAGGGCCUCAAGUGUUUGUGUGGAAAGUGCUAAGUGCGUGUGGAUUAUCAUGAAAUAAUGAGUGUGGACACUAUAGGGUUUUAUGGCUUACAGGUCUGGAUGAUCAAUCUCUGUGCAUUGAAGUCAGGCAGGUAAACCUUAGAAACAUCUAUUUAAUCUGCAGGACUAUGGCACUCCGAACCUGACCCCAGGAGCCGGUAAAAGCUCACUGCAGCCAUCAGAGAGAAAGGGUUUCUGUAUUUUCUUCCCAUCUCUGCCUCUCCAUGAAGGGACUUUUCAUUUUUCUCUACUGCAAAUAUCCUUCUGUGGCAGUUGAAGUCCACUGCCUACUGUGGAGAGAGGCUAAUGGGAAGAGGGCUGAGUUGGAGUUUGUGGGCUUUCAGGUUAAAUCCGGGCUCCAGCACCUGCUUAGCUGUCAGAAGCUCUGUGACCCCCUGUUCUCCUGUGAGUGCAAGAAGCUUGCAAGUUUGUAAUCAUUCAGUGUGCUGCAGAGGGGCUGGCAGAGUGUCCUUGUCUCCUCAUACUUCUCACUAGCUAUCCCAAAAAUGCCUCUCAAAGAAAAGAACAGCCAUUGUGCGUUGUGAAGUGACCACAAUGAGUGGAGGUUUGUCUGAGCUUUCUUAAGGGACGCACAAGUGCAUUUCCGGGAAGCACUGUGUCUUUAUUGGUCUGUAAAGUGUGAUCUAAAUAACAACUGCACAAGUGCAACCCCUGCCUGCUUCCUGCAGCUGUCCCUGAGCCCUGCCUAUGUAGGUGAUUCCUAGAGCUGCUGAGUGAGGAGAGUCUUGGGAAAAUCCCUGAGAAGUGGCCAGCUUAGGCUUUGGACACAGGCCAUCUGGGCAGGGUUUGCCACCUGGACUGUGUUCAGGACCCACCUGUCCCUGGGGGGAGAAGAAACCCUAAGGAGAAGGUGAGUCUGGCAUGGGGAGUCCCAUUUGGCAGCAAAGGGGAGGGCAGAGGAGGGCUGGGCUCUGUGAGAGGGUGGCCAUUAGAACUGCCUGGAUACUUGCUGGCCCUUUAGUGAGCACGUGUCCUGUGGAGAGAAGACCACUACCCCCAGAAGUCCCCGUGGUAUGGAUUGGGUGGGAUUCCCAUGCCUAGUCUGGCUGUUGCAGUGCACAUGGGCUCAGAGAAGGGGGAAAUACUUCAGUUGUGCAGCAGCACAGAGCCAGGGCUGGCCAAGGGAGACCAGGCUCUGAAGGUUAGGACACAUUUGAAAGGGCAAAGGGGUGGGGGUGGUGCUUUCAGUGGCUGGGCUGAUGCCAUCUCCCUCUUAGGAGGACUAGAGGACAAAUCCAAUGGGAGUUGAAGGUUUAAGUUGCGAAUGCAACUCCACUUACACCCAAUCUUUGUCAAUGUGGGCUGCUACCACAAAAUAUCCUAGCCUGGGUGUCCUAAACAAUAGACAUUCAUUUCUCACAGCAGUGUGGGCCAGAAGUCUGAAAUCUGGCUGCUAGCUGGUUCAGCUCCUGAUGAGGACCCACUGGCUUGCAGUCGGAAGCCUUCUCAUGGGUUCUUGCCUGGCAGAGGGAGAGCUCUUUGGUGUCUCUCUUCCUUUGUAUGAGGACUCAGAUCCCAUCCUGGAGCUCACCUUCAUACCUCAUGUACCCCUAAGGUCUCACCUUCAUAUCCCACCAAUUUGGGGGUCAAGUGCUUCGGCAUAUGGAUUCCAGGAGGACUCACAUGUUCGGUCCAGGACACUCUGGGACUGGGAGGUGGGAAUGGUCCCACUGAUGCACUGGUGCAGAAGAGCCUGACACAUGCCAGGGACUUAAGAACACUGCUUUCCAUCACUUUUCAUCUUAUCUACAAAAGAUGAUAGCUGGAAAGCAGAUAUGAAGUGACAGCUCUCCGACAAAAAACACAGUCGUCCCUCAGCACCCACAGUGGAUUGGUUCCAGGACCUCCUCAGACACUAAAAUGUGCAGGCAAUGAGCUCUUUUUCCUGGACUGUGAAACCAGAUUGUGUAAAAUAGCCCCUGAAGGCUGGAGGGAGCAGCCCCUGAAGACCUCUACCAACACCUUCACACUCUUUCUGCGGAUCAAGUUCUUUGCCAGCCACUGUGGGCUGCUUCAGCGAGUGCUGCUCCCUGUCCCCUGGUCCCUUGAGGCUUUCAUGUCUGUCCAGGCUGAUGUCACAGCCUGUGCUUUGCAAAUUACAUGCAAAUGGCAGCAGGGGCCAUCGCUGGUCUUCUGUCAGUGGGAUUCUAGUAUGACAGAACAAGG